UGCUUUACACAUGCAAGUCGAACGGCAGCGCGGGGCAACCUGGCGGCGAGUGGCGAACGGGUGAGUAAUAUAUCGGAACGUACCCAGAAGUGGGGGAUAACGUAGCGAAAGUUACGCUAAUACCGCAUACGAUCUACGGAUGAAAGUGGGGGACCUUCGGGCCUCAUGCUUGUGGAGCGGCCGAUAUCUGAUUAGCUAGUUGGUGAGGUAAAGGCUCACCAAGGCGACGAUCAGUAGCUGGUCUGAGAGGACGACCAGCCACACUGGGACUGAGACACGGCCCAGACUCCUACGGGAGGCAGCAGUGGGGAAUUUUGGACAAUGGGCGCAAGCCUGAUCCAGCAAUGCCGCGUGAGUGAAGAAGGCCUUCGGGUUGUAAAGCUCUUUUGUCAGGGAAGAAACGGCUUGGGAUAAUACCUUGAGCUAAUGACGGUACCUGAAGAAUAAGCACCGGCUAACUACGUGCCAGCAGCCGCGGUAAUACGUAGGGUGCAAGCGUUAAUCGGAAUUACUGGGCGUAAAGCGUGCGCAGGCGGUUUUGUAAGUCUGACGUGAAAUCCCCGAGCUUAACUUGGGAAUUGCGUUGGAG
rnacentral:rRNA from 1 species